GUGCGGUGUUGAGCACGCGGGAAGCACUUAACGAAAGGGAGCUGCCCCUCAGCCCUCGUGAGUCCGAUGUAAAGGAGUGAAGGAGACGAAGAACUGAAUCAGUAGUUGACCGCCUGUGAGCUGGCGAGCUGUGCCCUGGUAGGGCCUUAAAUCCCAGCCCCAGAAGUCGGAGGCAGGGCAGGCACCCCAAAGCGUGGAAGAGAUGCACCUGCGGAGUGAAAAUGCUGCUAUUGCUUCUAGGGUCAGCCUUGGUUCCUGGAACAAAGGAGCCGCAUGACUCGGGUCUGGCGAUGAUGUUGGGCUCUGCAGUGUCCUCAUCCUUCCCCCUCUCUGGGUAAUGAUAUCUUCCCAGGGUUUAAAGUGUGUCCUCUCUGCCAGUAGCUUGUCUCCACAGCCUCAUCUUUAAUUCCACCUGCCCCACCCAUUUUGGACACUGCAGCCAAGUUGCAGCAGAUCCGCAAACCUGACGGAGUCGAAUCUCACUGUCUCCCAGGCUGGAGUGCAGUGGCGCCAUCACAGCUCAUUGCAGCCUCAACCUCCUGAGCUCAAGCCAUCCUCCCACCUCAGCCUCCCAAGUACCUGGGGUUACAGGCAAGCACCAUUACGCCUAGCUAAUUUUUCUGGGUUUUUUUUUUUUGUUUUUUUUUUUGUAUAGAUGGAUUUCGCCAUGUUGUCCAGGCUGGUCUUAAACUCUCGCUCUGUCUCCCAGGCUAGAGUGCAGUGGGGCAAUCUCGGCUCCCUGCAACCUCUGCCUCCUGGGUUCAAGCAAUUAUCCUGCCUCAGCCUACCAGUUAGCUGGGAUUACAUGUGUGCGCCACCGCGCCCGGCUAAUUUUUUUAUUUUUAGUAGAGGCGGGGUUUCACCAUGUUGACCAGGCUGGUCUCAAGACUACUGACCUCAAGUGAUCCCCCCCCCCCCCCGCCUCGGCCUCCCAAAGUGCUGGGAUUACAGACGUGAGCCACCGUGCCCAGCGGUUUUGCAUUUUCAAUUGUGGGGCACGGUGAGAAAAGACUUGAAGAAAGCAAGGGAGUGAGAUCCAUGGAAAUGUAGGGGGGAACCUUGCAGGCCUAUGGAACAGCCAGUGCAAAGGGCCUGGGGUGGGAGCUGCCUCAGGGUAGCCAGGAUGGCAGGAGGCACAGCUGCCGAGAGGAAGCAGGGGCCAGGUCCUGCAAGGUUAGAGGCCAUUGCUACUCCUGAACACAUUGGCAGGUUUUGAGCAGAGAAGUGACAUGAUUUUAGUUUUCUCAGGAUCCCUCUGGCUGCUGUGUGGAGGAAGAGGGGAGGGUGAGAGCAGGGAUACCUCUUAGGAGGCUGUGGUAGUAAUCCCAGGGAGCCAGGAUGGGAGCAGAGGAGGGGACAGGAAUUGGAUUCUGGAUGCAUUUUGGAGGGAGCAUGAAGGAAAGCGGGGUCAAAGGUUCCUCUGAGGCCUUGGCUGCCUCUCUUAUUCAUCUACAUCCAUUCUGUCAAGGACACCUUUCAUUUCUUCUUGGCACUGUCUCAAGGCCACCACGCUGCUGCCCACCUGACCAGCAGUGGCCUUUCCAGGCCUUCCAUCUUCUCCCCAGCAGCUUAUCUCUGCGUAGCCAGGUCCCAUUUCCCACACACCUUUUUUUAAAGUGUGUUGCACUGCUCUGGGUGCAGGACUGUAGCAGUGACCAGGGCAGCUCCAGAUGAAGCUUCUGCUCACAGGAACCUUUUCUACUGAAACAGAUGAUACCUAAACUCUCAGCUGUGUGACUUUAAGCAACUUGCACAACCUCUCUGUACUUCAGUUGCCUCCAUCUUCAAAUGGGGAUUAAAAAGUGUUGACAUCAUAGUGGUUGUGAGGAUUACAUGAUUUGAUAGUUUAUAAAGCACUUAGAACUUGUGAAGAAGAGUGCCUGGGGAUUGCCUAAGGUCAGGAGUUCAAGACCAGCCUGGCCAACAUGGAGAAACCUCAUCUCUGCUAAAAAUACAAAAACUAACCACGCAUGGUAGUGCACACCUCUAGUCCCAGCUACUUGGGGGGCUGAGGCAGGAGAAUCACUUGAACCUGGGAGGUGGAGAUUGCAGUGAGCCAAGAUUGCGCCACUGCACUCCAGCCUGGGCAACAGAGCAAGACUCGGUCUCCAAAGAAAAAAAAAGAACUGCCUGGCUACGGAAUAAGAACUACAUGGAGUUAUUAAAUCAAAAUCGGUGCACAAAUGAUAAUUCUUAAGAGUGAGUGCUACAGAGAACACAAAAGGCAAGGCACAGAGAGAUGACCUGGGAGGCAGGGAAGGAAAGCAUUCCCAGAGUUCUGGAGGCUGCAAGCCCAGGUUCAAGGCAUCAGCAGGUGUGGUUUCCUCCGAGGCCUCUCCCCGUGGCUUGCAGAUGGCUGCCUUCUUCCUGCAUCCUCACGUGGUCCCUCCUCUGCACUCCAGCAUCCUUAAUGUCUCUUUGUGUGUCCAACUUUCCGCCCCCCCCCACCCCUUUUUUUUCUGAUGGAGUCCACCCAGACUGGAGUACAGUGGCGUGAUCUCAGCUCACUG
rnacentral:lncRNA from 1 species